CCUACGGGUGGCAGCAGUGGGGAAUAUUGGGCAAUGGGCGCAAGCCUGACCCAGCAAUGCCGCGUGAAGGAAGAAGGCCCUCGGGUUGUAAACUUCUUUUAUCAGGGACGAAGGAUGUGACGGUACCUGAUGAAUAAGCUCCGGCUAACUACGUGCCAGCAGCCGCGGUAAUACGUAGGGAGCAAGCGUUAUCCGGAUUUACUGGGUGUAAAGGGCGCGUAGGCGGGAUGGCAAGUCAGAUGUGAAAUCCGGGGGCUCAACCCCUGAACUGCAUUUGAAACUGUCGUUCUUGAGUACUGGGGAGGUUGACGGAAUUCCCGGUGUAGCGGUGACAUGCGUAGAGAUCGGGAGGAACACCAGUGGCGAAGGCGGCCUGCUGGGCUCUAACUGACGCUGAGGCACGAAAGCGUGGGUAGCAAACAGGAUUAGAUACCCCGGUAGUC
rnacentral:rRNA from 1 species